AUCCAGCUGACGAGUCCCAAAUAGGACGAAAUGCGAUUUAUCCUGGUGGAU
rfam:Trichobilharzia regenti genome assembly, scaffold: TRE_contig0009951